rnacentral:rRNA from 1 species
CCCAGACUCCUACGGGAGGCAGCAGUGGGGGAUAUUGGACAAUGGGGGGAACCCUGAUCCAGCGACGCCGCGUGAGUGAAGAAGUAUCUCGGUAUGUAAAGCUCUAUCAGCAGGGAAGAAAGAAAUGACGGUACCUGAGUAAGAAGCCCCGGCUAAUUACGUGCCAGCAGCCGCGGUAAUACGUAGGGGGCAAGCGUUAUCCGGAGUUACUGGGUGUAAAGGGAGCGUAGACGGUGAAGUAAGUCUGGAGUGAAAGGCGGGGGCCCAACCCCCGGACUGCUCUGGAAACUGUGAAGCUGGAGUGCAGGAGAGGUAAGCGGAAUUCCUGGUGUAGCGGUGAAAUGCGUAGAUAUCAGGAGGAACACCGGUGGCGAAGGCGGCUUACUGGACUGUAACUGACGUUGAGGCUCGAAGGCGUGGGGAGCAAACAGGAUUAGAUACCCCCGUA